GAUGAAGAACGUAGCGAAAUGCGAUAAGUAGUGUGAAUUGCAGAAUUCAGUGAAUCAUCGAAUCUUUGAACGCACAUUGCGCCCCUUGGUAUCCCGAGGGGCAUGCCUGUUCGAGCGUCAUUUCACCACUCAUGCCUGGCUUGGUGUUGGGCGACGUCCUCUUUGGGGACGCGCCUCGAAACGCUCGGCGGCGUGGCACCGGCUUUAAGCGUAGCAGAAUCUUUCGCUUUGGAAGUCGGGGCCCCGUCUGCCGGAAGACCUGCUCGCAAGGUUGACCUCGGAUCAGGCAGGGAUACCCGCUGAACUUAAGCAUAUCAAUAAGCGGAGGA
rnacentral:misc_RNA from 1 species